rnacentral:rRNA from 1 species
UAUAAUGGGUCAGCGACUUAUAUUCUGUAGCAAGGUUAACCGUAUAGGGGAGCCGAAGGGAAACCGAGUCUUAACUGGGCGUUAAGUUGCAGGGUAUAGACCCGAAACCCGGUGAUCUAGCCAUGGGCAGGUUGAAGGUUGGGUAACACUAACUGGAGGACCGAACCGACUAAUGUUGAAAAAUUAGCGGAUGACCUGUGGCUGGGGGUGAAAGGCCAAUCAAACCGGGAGAUAGCUGGUUCUCCCCGAAAGCUAUUUAGGUAGCGCCUCGUGAACUCAUCUUCGGGGGUAGAGCACUGUUUCGGCUAGGGGGCCAUCCCGGCUUACCAACCCGAUGCAAACUACGAAUACCGAAGAAUGUUAUCACGGGAGACACACGGCGGGUGCUAACGUCCGUCGUGAAGAGGGAAACAACCCAGACCGCCAGCUAAGGUCCCAAAGUCAUGGUUAAGUGGGAAACGAUGUGGGAAGGCCCAGACAGCCAGGAUGUUGGCUUAGAAGCAGCCAUCAUUUAAAGAAAGCGUAAUAGCUCACUGGUCGAGUCGGCCUGCGCGGAAGAUGUAACGGGGCUAAACCAUGCACCGAAGCUGCGGCAGCGACGCUUAUGCGUUGUUGGGUAGGGGAGCGUUCUGUAAGCCGUUGAAGGUGGUCUGUGAGGGCUGCUGGAGGUAUCAGAAGUGCGAAUGCUGACAUAAGUAACGAUAAAGCGGGUGAAAAGCCCGCUCGCCGGAAGACCAAGGGUUCCUGUCCAACGUUAAUCGGGGCAGGGUGAGUCGACCCCUAAGGCGAGGCCGAAAGGCGUAGUCGAUGGGAAACAGGUUAAUAUUC